AUUCUGCAAAAUCACGCAGUUUCAAUAUUUUGCUUUCCGUGCGGCGCGCGUGGGUGGUUUUUGCGGCGAAUCGCAUUUAAACCGAGUGAAAUAUGUAUAUAUUCUCUGUCCUUGGUCUCGGCGUUAUUCAUAAGCGGAUAACCGGGCAGCCUCGUAUCGUUCGAAUACGUAUCGAAUACGAAGUAUCAAAACGCGCGGUUGCGUCCACUACUUCCAUUUCUCUUUCCCUCGCUGCCGAAUCAUGAAGAUCUAGAGGGUCAACGACGUGGCUUAACCUCCAGUGAACAGACGGUUACUGACACAAGGAAAUCGUUACGAAGAGAAGCACGAAUUGCCUCGGUGCCGAUGAGAUAUCGUCACGGUUGAUGAUUUCUAGGAAUUAAGAUUCCCGCGGCAGAUGCAGCGGAACUUAAUCAAAACUAGACGCUCCCGAGGAGAGUUCAUGUGCAAGAAAUUCUUGUAAGAUAUAUAAACAAUUGUAAAGUAAUGGGGGAGAUGGGGGGAAAAUACGCUGAGAGCUUGUGCCAGCGUAAUUUGUGUACAGUGUCGCUUUCUAGAGAGAGUUCAUGGGAGUUCAAGAGAAAUUGAAAAAAAUCUAAAAUAUACGCAACCGCACCGCCGUUUGCAGUUGCAGGCUGUACCGUUUGUUAACCGUACGCUAAAUUACAACACAAGCGCGGCCAGAGACAAAACAAAUAUACUUUUCGAGUACAGAGUACGAGAGAUAAAUAUACCGAUAACAUAGUGAGAUAAAACACAAUAUCUUUUGUGAUAAAAAGGAAAUAGCGACGCUUUCCUCAAGAGUUAAAUAACAGGCAAGAUAAUAACGAGAGAAAAUAAUGAAAAAAGUGGAUAAAAAUUAUAAUCAAAACGUCAUUUGGUACGUGAAAUUGGAUUUUUAAACCAAACCAGCGAUAACAAUUGAAUUAAAGAUAUCACUCAAGAAUCGAAGUCUAAGAAAAUAUUUGUUUCACACUUUUGCAAUAUAGUUAGUCUUUGCUAUUCUCCUACUCUUUGUUCUAUGUGAGUUAAAAAUUCUUUAUUGUGCUAUUCAACGAUAAUACUUUGAUUAUGAAAAUAUACCAUGUAAUAUCACGUUAAUAUUAAUUACAAUUAAAUAAAAAAAAAUGCAAUUAACAUCUUUAUUUACAUACUAAAAAUAAUGGUCAAACAAAAUAAUUUUAAAUAUCGUCGUAGUAAUUUUAUAGUAUCCUUCGCAGUAUGGCGGAAAAGUUAAAUAUAAAAAUACAUCUUUAUAUGUAUAUAAAGUAAAAUGUAGGAACACAUAUAUCCCCAUAUGAAAAUAAAAUAAAAUGUAAAAAUGCACGUGCCGUCGAAUUUAUGAUGUAUCUAUAAUUAUAUAGCUUUGCAUACGGCUAUUAAGCUUUGUAAGGAGACUAAACGAGCAAUCUGUCAUCGUGUAACUGCUCAUGUUACUAAUAAUUGCAACGGUCGCGCAUUGCGUAAGUUCCAAUUACGAUGCGAGAGGCGUUUACGCGACAAAACAGGAGCAUCGCGAAGCAUCACGAUCGCGGAAAGAAAAAUUAAAGAUAUUCCAGUCUUCAUAAAAAGGCGGAGGACUGCGAGCGAAAGGAAUGUAUUCCUCGCUCAACAUUCUCGUUUAAUGAGUAAAGCGGUUUUAUGACCUGUGCACAUUUGACGAUAUAGAAGCUGCAGGUAAUAACAAGCGAUAAUUAUCGUAACCGCUGGCAUACUACACCAGUCAACCUAUACGCGUGUUUGCAACGGUGAGACGCCGACAUUUUAUCUACGUCUGGGGUUUCUAGUGUGAAGUCAGAUUCUUUGACUACCGCAGUAAAAAAAUCAUUUAGCCAUGCAAACUAUUGCGCGUAGAUUAAUCGCUGUUAAAUUAUUGAUCAUUUCUGGUUUCCUUUCGAGUUCAUACAUGUUCAUAAGCGCGAAUGGGAUUGAAUGAGAAAUAUUUUGUCAUUUAAUUAACAUGUUGAAAAUAUGAGCGGCAUUAGAAUAGUCGCGUGUAAGCCUGAGGGAAUCACACUCGUUCACCGUGACAAAACGAAUGAUAGAAUGGACGUGUAAUUCCUAUUUGGAAAGCAAGGUAUGCCUCUUCGAGGACGCAUGUUCGCAUCGUGCUGCAAUCGGACACGCUCGCGUACGCCCGACGGAAUGUGUCGGAUUGAAGGCGUGGGCAUUUAAAAAAAAAAAAUAUCAGACUGCAAGAACGUUCGUGAUACGCAACGUCAAUAUCUCUUCGCAUUUAAAAUUGAGACGUGACUUGAAUUACGAUAGUCGCAACAAUAAUAAUUUCUAAAUUGUUAUUAGCGGGCACUGUUACGAAAGGAAAAGGAGUUCGAUUGAUGCCAAUAUAAUUUAAUUCCCUCCUGUCAAUCGCAUUACGAUGUAUAAAAAAAUUUAAUUGAUUAAGAAAACGCGAUAAAUAGACGACUUGAAUAUCGUAAAAAAAAAAAUUGUAGGUGAAACAAAAAAAUGUUCGAAGAGUUACUUAUUUAAAUAAUGUUUCAUGCAUGUGGACAACGUAUAAAUAUUGUUACGCUCAUUAUCGUUUCGAGAUAAAUAAGAUAGAUGUUUACGUAAUGUAUUAUUUUCUUGGCAUUGCCUCUUUUUCUUCUAUAUUCAGAGAAAUAAUUAUUUUAAGUAUUCAUUAUUCCUAUAAUCAUUUCUUUAUAGACAAGUUCCUGGAGUAUUUUAAGAUAAAUAUUAACUUGUAUUUUAUGGAAAAAGCUAGAAAUACUUCAGAAGUACAUCCUAUAAUGUAAAAACGCAUCUGUAAAAGUAUUUUUGUAAUCAGCACCGUUUGUCAGUUAAUAGAUACUUUUAUUUUCAUCUUUCUAUUUUUAUUACACAUUAAAGCCUCCUUUUGUUCCAAAAAUAUUUUCCCAAUUCUAUUUAAACUCUGCUAGAAUUAUCUCUAUGCGAAUCGGUCUAGGUCUAGGUGAUACCCCCGCUGUGUUACUCGAAAAUAACCCGAGAUGUCGAGAUUAGCUGGGUCCUUCUUGAAUCAAGUUGGUCCGCUGCUCCCCUGGACCCGUCGGCAAUUUGCGACUCGAGGGGAGGAGCUGAACACCUGCGCUUGCUUCAUUUCAAAACGAGUAAUUCUACCUGACUUAAACCGCGUCGAGGAGCCGUCAGUUAUCUUCGAGAGAUCGAACAAAGACUCCAGAUGGAACUCAUACAUUCCACCAGCGACAGCAACCGUCGGACAAUCCGCAUCUUUUCUUAAGAAAUUUCUCCGAGCCAUGCAACAAAGAGAAGCACCCAUAUGGCGCUGAAAAGAACGAAAAGUUUCAUGGGGACCGUUCCAGUAUCAUCUUCUGAAUAUCUUCUUUCAGUUGAUCUCAAUGGAUCGCGAAGUAGCCGGUGAAAAGGCAUGUGCUGCUGGCGUGGAUGUCAAGCACAAACAUAAUUCGCUUAAUUCAUUGGAGAUUAUUCUCCAUUGAAUGAUAGAGAAUUAGGGUGACAUUCCAGGGAUGAGGAGGAUCUUAGCCUGUCCUUCACUCGAUCUUAACUCUGAUUAAAAAAUGACGCGAAUGAAUGUCGACAAGCUCUCACGAUUCGCACAUAGCCCAGCAAUAGUUCAUGUUGCUGAACGAAAUACGUAAAUCUCAUCUAUAGUAACAAAAAAAUAUCUUUAUUGCUAUAUAUUAGAUUUUUCCUCAUAAUUUGUACUCUGGAACUAAACUUUUUAAUUUCUGUAACUUUAUGUUCCUUGAGUAUUGAGAAUUUUAUGAUUAAUAUAAGUCAAAGGUUUAAAGUCCUAAACAGUAUCAUGCCAUGCUUCUUUCGCUGAAUCAA
rnacentral:tRNA from 13 species